rnacentral:rRNA from 1 species
GACGAACCGUACGAACGUUAUUCGGAAUUACUGGGCUUAAAGGGUGCGUAGGCUGCGCGGAAAGUUGGGUGUGAAAUCCCUCGGCUCAACCGAGGAACUGCGCCCAAAAACUACCGUGCUCGAGGGAGACAGAGGUGAGCGGAACUUAGGGUGGAGCGGUGAAAUGCGUUGAUAUCCUAAGGAACACCCGUGGCGAAAGCGGCUCACUGGGUCUCUUCUGACGCUGAGGCACGAAAGCUAGGGUAGCGAACGGG